GGCAAGGUGGCCGAGUGGUUAAGGCGAUAGACUCGAAUGAUCUUGGUUCCCCAGGCGAUUUCUGCUAUCUAUUGGGUUCGCCCGCGUAGGUUCAAAUCCUGCCCUUGUCG